rnacentral:rRNA from 1 species
AUUGAACGCUGGCGGCAUGCCUUACACAUGCAAGUCGAACGGCAGCACGGGGGCAACCCUGGUGGCGAGUGGCGGACGGGUGAGUAAUGCAUCGGAACGUGCCCUGAAGUGGGGGAUAACGCAGCGAAAGCUACGCUAAUACCGCAUAUUCUGUGAGCAGGAAAGCAGGGGAUCGCAAGACCUUGCGCUUUGGGAGCGGCCGAUGUCGGAUUAGCUAGUUGGUGGGGUAAAGGCCUACCAAGGCGACGAUCCGUAGCGGGUCUGAGAGGAUGAUCCGCCACACUGGGACUGAGACACGGCCCAGACUCCUACGGGAGGCAGCAGUGGGGAAUUUUGGACAAUGGGCGGAAGCCUGAUCCAGCCAUGCCGCGUGAGUGAAGAAGGCCUCCGGGUUGUAAAGCUCUUUCGGCGGGGAAGAAAUUGCUUGGGUUAAUACCCUGAGUAGAUGAGGUACCCGCAUAAGAAGCACCGGCUAACU